AGAUUGAACGCUGGCGGCAGGCCUAACACAUGCAAGUCGAGCGGUAGAGAGGUGCUUGCAUCUCUUGAGAGCGGCGGACGGGUGAGUAAUGCCUAGGAAUCUGCCUAGUGGUGGGGGAUAACGUUCGGAAACGGACGCUAAUACCGCAUACGUCCUACGGGAGAAAGGCGGGGGACCUUCGGGCCUCGCGCCUAUUAGAUGAGCCUAGGUCGGAUUAGCUA
rnacentral:rRNA from 1 species